rnacentral:rRNA from 1 species
CACGGGGGGAGCAAGCGUUGUUCGGAAUCACUGGGCGUAAAGGGCGUGUAGGCGGUCAGGUAAGUGAGAUGUGAAAUGCCCCGGCUCACCCGGGGACCGGCAUCUCAUACUGCUUGGCUUGAGUACGGGAGAGGAUGUGGGAAUUCCUGGUGUAGCGGUGAAAUGCGUAGAUAUCAGGAGGAACACCGGUGGCGAAGGCGGCAUCCUGGACCGAUACUGACGCUGAGGAGCGAAAGCCAGGGGAGCAAACGGG